rnacentral:rRNA from 1 species
GACGAACGCUGGCGGCGUGCUUAACACAUGCAAGUCGAACGGAAAGGCCCUGCUUUUGUGGGGUGCUCGAGUGGCGAACGGGUGAGUAACAUGUGAGUAACCUGCCCUUGACUUUGGGAUAACUUCAGGAAACUGGGGCUAAUACCGGAUAGGAGCUCCUGCUGCAUGGUGGGGGUUGGAAAGUUUCGGCGGUUGGGGAUGGACUCGCGGCUUAUCAGCUUGUUGGUGGGGUAGUGGCUUACCAAGGCUUUGACGGGUAGCCGGCCUGAGAGGGUGACCGGCCACAUUGGGACUGAGAUACGGCCCAGACUCCUACGAGAGGCAGCAGUGGGGAAUAUUGCACAAUGGGCGGAAGCCUGAUGCAGCAACGCCGCGUGCGGGAUGACGGCCUUCGGGUUGUAAACCGCUUUCGCCUGUGACGAAGCGUGAGUGACGGUAAUGGGUAAAGAAGCACCGGCUAACUACGUG